AUCGCAAGCUUCGGAUCCCCCCUCCCCACCCCCUCCACGAUCCGCUGGUUAGUGGCUCCUUCCAGACUCCGAGCCUCGGGGGGCCUCCCAGAGAGGCCACUGCUGAGUUCUUUGACCCCUAGCUCCAAGGGAGACCUACAGACCUCUUAAUGAGGACGGUCCCCACUCCCUACGAGAUCCCCAUCUUCUGCAUUUCCUGGAUAUGCCCUAGCGCCCUCACCUAGCCCACUGUCCCCCAUAUCCUUUCACAGGGAUCCUCUCUCCAAAUCCCCUAAUCCGUACUCUUUUCUCAACUCCACGUCCGUGCACGUCCAUUCUUCCCAUCAACCUUCCCUCUUCUCUCACCUCACCCCUUCACAUUCUCUGCUUUCCCCGCUCUAUUUUUCCUCAGCCUGGCAAGCUUGGGAGGUAAGGGACAUCCCUUUCCCUGGUUCCAGGGGAGCACCCAGGAAUGUAAAGGAAUUGGCUCGGUUGAGGGGAAGUUUUUCAGAAUGGGACUUGAAGAGGAAUUGCCCUGGACUGAAUAGCCCAUCUGGAGAUGGCUCUGUACUGGAACAUUUAUGCUUUAUUUAAUCCACAUUGCUACCAGGGCUGACAGGACAAGGAUUAUUAGGUCUGAUUUACACACAGGGGAACUUACAGGCUCACAAAUCUCACUGUUAGUAUGUGGAUUUUCAAUUAUGCAUUCAACAAAGAUUUAUUGAGUACCUAGUAUUGCCACUGCCAGACCACUAACUGACAUUUACUAAACACUGAGUGCCAGGCACCAGUUGUACUCUAUAACACUUUAUAUGUGUUUUGAUUUUCACAACAACCCCAAAAGGUGAGUAUUCUCCCCAUUUUCCAUUUGAGGACACAGACUCAGCCUGACUUCCUACAGGUUGCGAAGCUAUGGUAAAUAGCAGAACCAGGAUCUGAAACCAUAGUUCCUGGCCCCAACCCUCUUCACUCUCUACAUGCAUCAGAUUGUCCAAACCCCAGAGUGCUUCAGCCUCCCCAGGGAAACCUAGGCCUAGUCCUGACUGCCUCAAACUUGCUGUGUGGCCUCAAGGAAGUCAUGUUACCUCUGUGGGCCUCAAUUUUUUUUUCUGUCAAAUUUAACAUGUCCAAGCAUCUAGAGAUUCUUUCAAAUUCUCUACCCUCAGGAUUCUACCAAGCCCAUGUUCUAGACCCUGUCUCUCCCAAUGGCCUGGGAAAUACCUGAGGUGGAGAAACUGAGGCACACAGGCACAGAGAGGUCAAGUUACCUGCUUAGAAUUGUAGACCAGCAGAGCUAUCUAUUGAACCUGGUGGCAAAGGAGUGGGGGAGGUUAGUAUUCUGGGACCCUGGUCUGGACCUGAAGGUUGUAAAAAGAGGCAGUGGGCACCAUGCUGGGGGUAAUCCUGGAGACUUAUUUCCAAUUAGAGACUGCCAUUGCUGGAUAGACAUGGAUGUCUUCACAUACACAUGGAGGCAUCCGUGUACAAACAUACACACAUGCACAUGAACUCACACCCACGGAGUUAACAGAUGCCCAUACCCAUCCAAUCCCUGCUCAGACAUAAGCACCUUCCCAAUUUUAUGGGCUCCAGGAUUGGAGGUCAAGAGGCCAUCCUUCUAUUCCUGUCUGGGCCUGAGGCUUGCCCUCACCAAACCCUGGGGCCUCACCAAUGGCUUGGGGCCCCCCACUUCAAAGGACAGAGAUGUGUCAGAUGUGUCAGCCUGGGUGUGUCUUUCACAGACCUUGUGUGUACUUGAAGAUAUGAGCCCGCUGGAGAACUGCCUCACCAUUCAUCCCUUCUCCCUUUCCCCUCUCAGAUAGACAGCAAGGCUGAGACAAAGACCACAGGGUAGCUUGGAAUCUGAGUCAAAAUCAGGAGUCCUGAUCACUCAGAAGCAUAGCCCUUCCCUGCCCUCCACUAGUCCCAGAACUACAGUUAAAUGAGAAGAUUAAUUAUGAUACUAUUGGGAUUUCUAUGUGCCAGCACUCCCAUGUUGGCCUUGGAGGAGCAAACUGCCAUGUUUUGGAGAGGGCCACAUGGCAAGGACCCAAGAGGGGCCUCUAGAAGCUGAGAGCAGCCCCCAGAUAACAGAUAGCAAUAAAAUAAGGAUCUUAAUAAUAUGGCUGCAAGGAAAUGAAUUCUGCCAACAACCUGAGGGAGCCUGCAAGAAAAAGUUUCCCUAUUUGAGUCUUCAGAUGAGGACACGGUGGUCAACACCUCAAUUUCACCCUGUGGGUCCCUGAGCAGAGAACCCAAAUAAGCUGUGCCUGGACUUCUGACUAAUAAAA